UACGUAGGGUGCAAGCGUUAAUCGGAAUUACUGGGCGUAAAGCGUGCGCAGGCGGUUUUGUAAGACAGGUGUGAAAUCCCCGGGCUUAACCUGGGAACUGCAUUUGUGACUGCAAGGCUGGAGUGCGGCAGAGGGGGAUGGAAUUCCGCGUGUAGCAGUGAAAUGCGUAGAGAUGUGGAGGAACACCGAUGGCGAAGGCAGCCCCCUGGGUCGACACUGACGCUCAUGCACGAAAGCGUGGGUAGCAAACAGG
rnacentral:rRNA from 1 species